AUUGAACGCUGGCGGCAUGCCUUACACAUGCAAGUCGAACGGCAGCACGGGUGCUUGCACCUGGUGGCGAGUGGCGAACGGGUGAGUAAUAUAUCGGAACGUGCCCUAGAGUGGGGGGAUAACGCAGCGAAAGCUGUGCUAAUACCGCAUAUUAUCUGAGGAUGAAAGCGGGGGACUAAGCAGCAAUGUUUGGCCUCGCGCCUUUGGAGCGGCCGAUGUCAGAUUAGGUAGUUGGUGGGGUAAAGGCCUACCAAGCCGACGAUCUGUAGCUGGUCUGAGAGGACGACCAGCCACACUGGGACUGAGACACGGCCCAGACUCCUACGGGAGGCAGCAGUGGGGAAUUUUGGACAAUGGGCGCAAGCCUGAUCCAGCAAUGCCGCGUGCAGGAAGAAGG
rnacentral:rRNA from 1 species